rnacentral:rRNA from 1 species
GACGAACGCUGGCGGCGUGCUUAACACAUGCAAGUGGAGCGACGAACCGGGCUUCGGCCCGGGGCAGAGCCGCGAACGGGUGAGUAACACGUGGGUCAUCUGCCCAGUUGACAGGGACAACCCGGGGAAACCCGGGCCAAUACCUGAUGUGCCCUUCGGGGGAAAGGAAGCUUCGGCCUCCGCAACUGGAUGAGCCCGCGGCCCAUUAGCUUGUUGGUGGGGUAACGGCCUACCAAGGGAACGAUGGGUAGCUGGUCUGAGAGGACGAUCAGCCACACUGGGACUGAGACACGGCCCAGACUCCUACGGGAGGCAGCAGUGGGGAAUUUUGGACAAUGGGGGCAACCCUGAUCCAGCAAUGCCGCGUGAGUGAGGAAGGCCUUCGGGUUGUAAAGCUCUUUUGUCCGGGAAGAAAUCCCAUUGGUUAAUACCUGGUGGGGAUGACGGUACUGGAAGAAUAAGCACCGGCUAACUACGUGCCAGCAGCCGCAGUAACAC